rnacentral:tRNA from 2 species
GGCUUCGUGGCUUAGCUGGUUAAAGCGCCUGUCUAGUAAACAGGAAAUCCUGGGUUCGAAUCCCAGCGAGGCCU